CCUACGGGGGGCAGCAGUGGGGGAUAUUGCACAAUGGGGGGAACCCUGAUGCAGCGACGCCGCGUGGGUGAAGGAGCGUUUCGGCGCGUAAAGCCCUAUCGGCAGGGAAGAAGCUGACGGUACUUGACCAAGAAUCCCCGGCUAACUACGUGCCAGCAGCCGCGGCAAUACGUAGGGGGCAACCGUUAUCCGGAUUUAUUGGGUGGAAAGGGGGGGCAGUCGGCAAUGCAAGCCAGGAGUGAAAGCCACGGGCCCAACCCCGGGACUGCUCUUGAAACUGGAUGGCUGGAGUACAGGAGGGGCAGGCGGAAUUCCUAGUGUAGCGGUGAAAUGCGUAGAUAUUAGGAGGAACACCGGUGGCGAAGGCGGCCUGCUGGACUGUGACUGACGUUGAGGCCCGAAGGCGUGGGGAGCAAACAGGAUUAGAUACCCUAGUAGUC
rnacentral:rRNA from 1 species